UAUGACAUAGUCAUAAAGUUCAAACCAUUCAACUGAGACGGUUUAUAAAUCCUUCUCGACUACCUUGGAGCUUAUGGUGUAGGAACUAGGUUGUUAUAUUUGUUGAUCACUAUCUUGUUUCUCAAAGAACCCAUUCUUUGAGUUCUAUCCCUCGUUCAUUUGCUCUAUCUUAGGCAAAUCCUAGUGUAGGAUUACAAUGAACUACCCAACAAAACACAUUUGUUAGUUGGUUUAUAGAAGUGAUAUCCAAAGGUUAAUUUAAGGAUAUCCACAAGAUAAUUC
rnacentral:lncRNA from 1 species